UACGGAGGGUGCAAGCGUUAUCCGGAUUCACUGGGUUUAAAGGGUGUGUAGGCGGUUGUUUAAGUUUGGUGUGAAAUCUCCCGGCUCAACUGGGAGGGUGCGCCGAAUACUGAAUGACUUGGAGUGCGGGAGAGGAGAGUGGAAUUCCUGGUGUAGCGGUGAAAUGCGUAGAUAUCAGGAGGAACACCGGUGGUGUAGACGGCUCUCUGGACCGUAACUGACGCUGAGACACGAAAGCGUGGGUAGCAAACAGG
rnacentral:rRNA from 1 species